GGCUCCAGGACUGCAGAGAGCAGAG
rnacentral:piRNA from 1 species